UUAGUGUUGGUUUAGGAAUUUUCCUAUAAACAACUCUCCAAUUCCCUUAAGCCCUUAAAUAACAUUGACCUAAUUGACAAGGCAUCAGAAACAAGAUGGUUUAAAGUGCCUUUAUUUAUUUUGACAAUUGUAGCUCUUUCUAGGUAUAACAACAACAAAACCAAGCCUUAGUCCCACUAAGUGGGGUUGGUUAUAUGAAUCUUUUUCCGCCAAUUUAUGCGAUCAUGGACCAUUUCUAGGUAUGAGAAUUUUAAAUCAAAAAUUUAAUUUUUCCCCUUAUAUUAUCAUACUUUUGAUUUAUCAUACUGAUGGACUCGGUAAUAAUUUCACUACUAUGAGUUAUAUUUGAUUUUUAUUUUUCUGCAUUUUUAAUUUUUGAUUUUUGGGUUUUAGGAUUAGAUUUGUGGCUGGAAAUUUAUUAGUUGGCUAGGAUUAGUUUGGGAAUGCUUCCAUGUGCUUGGAGGUCUUUGUGAGCUCCACCUCAUGGAAAACCUUAAGGGAAUUGAGUAAUAAAUACUAUUUCAAAAUUCAAACUGGGUGAAAAAAAACCUUGCUUUUUGUCCAUCUCAGAUGCCCUUUUUUUGCCAUUCUGUUCUCUCUCUUUCUCUAUUAAGCUCUUUUGUGUGUGUGGGUGGGGGGUGAGUUGGUGUUCAAGGGGCUUGCAGGCUCGCAUUACCCUCCCUUUUAUUCUUUUUUAUUCAUCUUAUGUUCUCUUUCUUUCAUCUCCUCCUCUCAACAUACCAGGUCGCGUGGAAGACCAACCCUAGUAAUCAGAUAUUCUGUAUUCUGGAGUGUAUUUAUAUUUUUUAUAGGUUGAAAUCUUUAAUUUCCAAGUGAUUUGAUUUUGAAGCAAGUUGUCAACUUGGCUGCUGCAGAUCUUAAAUUUUCCUUAACUGAAAAGCCUUGAGAGAGCAAUAUGUUGUAGCUUGAUUAGCACCCUACUAUAAUGCUCCAUGUGGGUGGCAGGGAAGAGUAUUUGGAAUAAAACUGGAGAUUGCCGCCUUCAAGUUGAUACCUCAGUCUCGCUUUUACCGUUAUUUUUUCUUGCAAAUGCAGGAUUGGGAUUUUCCCCACAGUUUCCUACUUUUGAAGCUCAUAUAUGGAAACCCAUUUGAUGGAAGAAAAAACCUAUUGUGGUAUGUUUUUGUAUACUGGUGGAUGGACAGGGAUGUCAUUUUAUCACGCAAGGAUACAAAGUUUAUGAAGGUGGCUCCAAAUGUUUGUGAAACCGUUGUUUUUAGUUUUUUAACCUCUUAAAGAUUUUUUAUUUUUUAUUUUUUAUAAACUUGU